AGUGAACGCUGGCGGUAGGCCUAACACAUGCAAGUCGAACGGCAGCACAGUAAGAGCUUGCUCUUACGGGUGGCGAGUGGCGGACGGGUGAGGAAUACAUCGGAAUCUACUUUUUCGUGGGGGAUAACGUAGGGAAACUUGCGCUAAUACCGCAUACGACCUACGGGUGAAAGCAGGGGAUCUUCGGACCUUGCGCGAUUGAAUGAGCCGAUGUCGGAUUAGCUAGUUGGCGGGGUAAAGGCCCACCAAGGCGACGAUCCGUAGCUGGUCUGAGAGGAUGAUCAGCCACACUGGAACUGAGACACGGUCCAGACUCCUACGGGAGGCAGCAGUGGGGAAUAUUGGACAAUGGGCGCAAGCCUGGUCCAGCCAUACCGCGUGGGUGAAGAAGGCCUUCGGGUUGUAAAGCCCUUUUGUUGGGAAAGAAAAGCAGCAGGUUAAUACCCCGCUGUUCUGACGGUACCCAAAGAAUAAGCACCGGCUAACUUCGUG
rnacentral:rRNA from 1 species